rnacentral:rRNA from 1 species
CACCUCUUCCCAUUCCGAACAGAGAAGUUAAGCUCACCAACGCCGAUGGUACUGCUACACCAAGUGGGAGAGUAGGUAGCCGCCAACU